AAUAUUGGACAAUGGGGGCAACCCUGAUCCAGCCAUGCCGCGUGUGUGAAGUAGGUCUUCGGAUUGUAAAUCACUUUAAGUUGGGAGGAAGGGCUUUAGGCUAAUACCCUGAAGUUUUGACGUUACCAACAGAAUAAUUCUCGGCCAACUCUGUGUCAGCAGCCGCGGUAAUAAUGAGGGUGCACGCGUUAAUCGGAAUUACUGGGCGUAAAGCGCGCGUAGGUGGUUCAGUAAGAUGGGUGUGAAAUCCCCGGGCUUAACCUGGGAACUGCUUUCAUAACUGCUGAGCUAGAGUACGGUAGAGGGUAGUGGAAUUUCCUGUGUAGCGGUGAAAUGCGUAGAUAUAGGAAGGAACACCAGUGGCGAAGGCGACUACCUGGACUGAUACUGACACGGAGGUGCGAAAGCGUGGGGAGCAAACA
rnacentral:rRNA from 1 species